GACGGGGUGGCCGAGUGGUUAAUGCAGUGGAUUGCUAAUUCGUUGGGGUUUCCCCGCGUGGGUUCGAAUCCCACCUCUGUCG
rfam:Clonorchis sinensis DNA, scaffold: 826, strain: Henan.